CAGUUGUUCAAAGGUAAGCUGAUCGGAUUUUGGUUAUCGGAUUGGAUCAAAUCUUGAAAAUGGGUUAUCACUGACUGAAUCCAAUCCUAGUUUUAAUCUGGAUCAAACCUUCAGUUUGUGUUGUUCAAAACUUGUCAGUAGGAUUUGGAUAACUUUGAUAAAAAAAAAACCCAGGAUUAUCCUGAUCCCAA